rnacentral:tRNA from 1 species
GGUGACUCAGUAAUAGAGUGCUUGCCUUGCAUGCAUGAGGCCCUAGGUUCAAUUCCUCAGCACCA